UCCACAUGAGAGAGUUGGCAGUCGGAGCC
rnacentral:piRNA from 1 species